rnacentral:rRNA from 1 species
UACGUAGGGGGCAAGCGUUGUCCGGAUUUAUUGGGCGUAAAGAGCGUGUAGGCGGUUUGGUAGGUCCGCUGUGAAAACUCGAGGCUCAACCUCGAGACGCCGGUGGAAACCAACAGGCUAGAGUCCGGAAGAGGAGAGUGGAAUUCCUGGUGUAGCGGUGAAAUGCGCAGAUAUCAGGAAGAACACCCGUGGCUAAGGCGGGUCUCUGGGCCGAUACUGACGCUGAGGAGCGAAAGCGUGGGGAGCGAACAGG